UAUCUCUGUAGAGUCUGCAUAUCAAUAAGCGGAGGAAAAGAAACUAACAAGGAUUCCCUUAGUAACGGCGAGUGAAGCGGGAAGAGCUCAAAUUUGAAAUCUUCAGGGUUUUACCUUGACGAAUUGUAGUUUAAAGAAGUGUUUUCUGUUGGUGUUUUGGUAAAAGUUCUUUGGAAUAGGACAUCAUAGAGGGUGAGAAUCCCGUAUUUGACCAUUACUUCCAGCGUUGUGAUACACUUUCAAAGAGUCGGAUUGUUUGGGAAUGCAGUCCAAAAUGGGUGGUAAAUUUCAUCUAAAGCUAAAUAUUGGCGAGAGACCGAUAGCGAACAAGUAUCCGUGAGGGAAAGAUGAAAAGAACUUUGAAAAGAGAGUUAAACAGUAUGUGAAAUUGUCAAAAGGGAAGCGUUUGACACCAGUGUUGUUUUCUCGAAAAUCAAUUAAAAAAGGCAGGAUUUUGUGUUGUAUUGACUUUAUCAGCUUUCUGCACUCCUUUCUUGUCUUUUUUUAAUGCACUUUUCGUUUAACAAGUCAACAUCAAUUUCUUUUGUUGUAAAAGGGUCAUUGGAAGGUGGCUUUCUUUUCGGAGAAAGUGUUUAUAGCCUUUGGCCUCUGCAAUCGGAGAGAUUGAGGUCUGCAGCGUAGAUCCUUCUGGAUUAGAUACAUUUGUGCUAAAUUAUAGCCUUUCAUAGACAACUUGUUGACUAUGAUCAGUCAUGUAGCUUACUCGCUUAUGCUAUUUUACCUACGCUUAGGAUGUUGAAGAUGUAGCACAUCAU
rnacentral:rRNA from 1 species